rnacentral:rRNA from 1 species
CCCAAGAGAUCGGGAUAACACCUGGAAACAGAUGCUAAUACCGGAUAACAACAGAUGAUGCCUAUCAACUGUUUAAAAGAUGGUUCUGCUAUCACUCUUGGAUGGACCUGCGGUGCAUUAGCUAGUUGGUAGGGUAACGGCCUGCCAAGGCGAUGAUGCAUAGCCGAGUUGAGAGACUGAUCGGCCACAUUGGGACUGAGACACGGCCCAAACUCCUACGGGAGGCAGCAGUG